GACGAACGCUGGCGGCGUGCUUAACACAUGCAAGUCGAACGAAGUGGCGAACGGGUGAGUAACGCGUAAUCAACCUGCCCUUCAGAGGGGGACAACAGUUGGAAACGACUGCUAAUACCGCAUACUGAAGGAGGGGAUUGCGUCUGAUUAGCUAGUUGGAGGGGUAACGGCCCACCAAGGCGAUGAUCAGUAGCCGGUCUGGGGGGAGGAACGGGCAAAUUUGGAAUGGAGAACGGCCCAGGAUCCUACGGGAGGGAGCAGUGGGGAAACGUCCGCAAUGGAGGAAAGGCCGAAGGAGCAAAGCCGGGGGAGUGAUGACGGGCUUCGGGUUGGAAAGCUCUGUUAAUCGGGACGCGGUACCGGAAGAGAAAGCCACGGCUAACUACGUGCCAGCAGCCGCGGUAAUAC
rnacentral:rRNA from 1 species